rnacentral:rRNA from 1 species
CCUACGGGAGGCAGCAGUGGGGAAUCUUGGACAAUGGGCGAAAGCCUGAUCCAGCGACGCCGCGUGGGGGAUGAAGCCCUUCGGGGUGUAAACCCCUGUUGCGAGGGAGGAAUAAGGCCUGGAGGAAAUGCCAGGCCGAUGACUGUACCUCGCGAGGAAGCCCCGGCUAACUACGUGCCAGCAGCCGCGGUAAUACGUAGGGGGCGAGCGUUACCCGGAUUCACUGGGCGUAAAGCGGGUGUAGGCGGCUCGGUAAGUCGGGUGUGAAAUCCCACAGCUCAACUGUGGAAUUGCGCCCGAAACUGCUGAGCUUGGGGCCGGUAGAGGGAGACGGAACUGCCGGUGUACGGGUGAAAUCCGUAGAUAUCGGCAGGAACGCCGGUGGGGAAGCCGGUCUCCUGGGCCGCGCCCGACGCUGAGACCCGAAAGCUAGGGAGCAACC